UACGGAGGGAGCUAGCGUUGUUCGGAAUUACUGGGCGUAAAGCGCACUAGGCGGCCAUUCAAGUCGGGGGGUGAAAGCCUGUGGCUCAACCACAGAAUUGCCUUCGAUACUGUUUGGCUUGAGUUUGGUAGAGGUUUGGUGGAACUGCGAGUGUAGAGGUGAAAUUCGUAGAUAUUCGCAAGAACACCAGUGGCGAAGGCGGCCACUGGACCAACACUGACGCUGAG
rnacentral:rRNA from 1 species